CCUCCCCAGAGACAUAGCACGUGUGUCAGUUGUCACAUGUGUGUAGGUUUGUGGCAGAAAGGAAAGAUGUUCUGUCUAAGCUCAGUGUCUGACCUGAGACCCUCUGAGUGAUUAGUAUCCCAAA
rnacentral:snoRNA from 1 species